GACGAACGCUGGCGGCGUGCUUAACACAUGCAAGUCGAACGGAAAGGCCCUGCUUUUGUGGGGUGCUCGAGUGGCGAACGGGUGAGUAACACGUGAGUAACCUGCCCUUGACUUUGGGAUAACUUCAGGAAACUGGGGCUAAUACCGGAUAGGAGCUCCUGCUGCAUGGUGGGGGUUGGAAAGUUUCGGCGGUUGGGGAUGGACUCGCGGCUUAUCAGCUUGUUGGCGGGGUAGUGGCUUACCAAGGCUUUGACGGGUAGCCGGCCUGAGAGGGUGACCGGGCACAUUGGGACUGAGGUACGGCCCAGACUCCUACGGGAGGCAGCAGUGGGAAAUAUUGCACAAUGGGCGGAAGCCUGAUGCAGCAACGCCGCGUGCGGGAUGACGGCCUUCGGGUUGUAAACCGCUUUCGCCUGUGACGAAGCGUGAGUGACGGUAAUGGGUAAAGAAGCACCGGCUAACUACGUG
rnacentral:rRNA from 1 species